UACGAGGGGGGGCAAGCGUUGUUCGGAAUUAUUGGGCGUAAAGGGUGCGUAGGCGGUUUGGUAAGUCUUAUGUGAAAUCUACAGGCUCAACUUGUAGUCUGCAUGAGAAACUGCCGGGCUUGAGUAUGGGGAGAGGUGAGUGGAAUUCCUGGUGUAGCGGUGAAAUGCGCAGAUAUCAGGAGGAACACCGGUGGCGAAGGCGGGUCUCUGGGCCGUAACUGACGCUGAGGAGCGAAAGCAUGGGGAGCGAACAGG
rnacentral:rRNA from 1 species